UACGUAGGGUGCAAGCGUUGUCCGGAAUUAUUGGGCGUAAAGAGCUCGUAGGCGGUUUGUCGCGUCGAAUGUGAAAACCCGGGGCUCAACCCCGGGCCUGCAUUCGAUACGGGCAGACUAGAGUUCGGUAGGGGAGUCUGGAAUUCCUGGUGUAGCGGUGAAAUGCGCAGAUAUCGUAAGGAAGACCAGUGGCGAAGGCGGGUCUCUGGACAGUUCCUGACGCUGAGGCACGAAGGCCAGGGGAGCAAACGGG
rnacentral:rRNA from 1 species